UGUGAUGUUGAAGCUUUUUGCUCAAAUACUUCUCAUUUUGGGGAAGGGAUUUUGUUGAAUCACAGAUCAAAAAAGCAGGGACAGCAAACCAAGCUAAAUGCUUGGUUGAAACUGGAUGGCUACAGCAAGCAACACAACCCCUUUAUUUAUUCACGAGCUAAAAGUUCCUUUUAAUUCAUGCUUCUUACGUUCGACAAAGUAAAUCAUGAUUCACGAAUGAGUGGAGUUAUGAUUAUCUGCAUGGUGCCUGGAUUUCAUCUUGGAAAUCUCUUGGUAGUGUGCCGUGAGAGAGAGAGCUCAGAAUCUGAGACGUGACCAGAGUUUGUCCUUCUCAUUCUUGGACUUGGCGUCAUCAAUGGAUUUGUUGAUUUAGUUCUCAAGCUUCGCCCAGAUAAAGUCAUCUGUGGAGGUCUAGCAGAAGUAGAUCGUGCCUUCGGUGUACCUGCAUUGGUAAACACAAACAAAACGGCAGAAAAUAGGCAACGUUUAUUUAGUUGUUCAUCCGGACGUUAUGUCUUCUGUACUUUCCCCAUAAAACAAAGAGAAAUACAAGGCUGCUUUUAAUAUCUCCAGCAUUUAAAUGCAUUACACAAUGAUGCAUCAAAGAAUGCAAACGAAAGCUUCCUCCCUCGAUGAUGGGAAAUUUGGCAGACUUGCUCAAGGAAUAGAAAAGUAGAGAUUUUAAUAAAGAUUGUUUUAUGUUUCAGUGGAUUCUUACACAAAGUUAAUAAAGAGACCGUUAGUUGAUUUCAAACAACACUAAGAAGCUGUCAAGAAUCUGACUCCAUCAGAAUCACUACAUUUUAAGGUAUUCCAUUCCCCUGGCAAUUUGAAGCAUAAGGUCAACUGCUACAGGAAGUGCAAAUGGGACUCGCUUUUUUGGGCCAUAAACUCUUUUAAUGUGUGUGCAGAGGUUACUGCUCAUCAGUUCCAUCAACAGAAAACACUCCUUCUUCUCCUCAUCACAAAAUCCACAAAGGCAUUCAAUUAUAUUUGGGUGUGAAAGAGAUAGAAGGGAUGUGAUCUCUGCUUCCAUUGCUUCUAUGUCUCCAAAAAAAUGCUUUGCAGCAAAGCUUUUACCUAGCCAAAUGAUCUCCUUGUACAUGCUCCCAUUCCCUAGUCUUCUCCUCACCUGAAGAACAUCUGUCAAUUGAUUCUCAAACUUUGUUGACAUUGCCAGUUUCUUUUCGCGGAUUUUAUUGAGAAGAAACCAUCCAUCUUCCUUCCAAACUGUGUCAUAACGGUUGCAGAAGUCCUGAGUAACGAGAUUCAAUCGCUUCAAUGACAAUGGGAAUGCAUGAGAGCAAAUUGUGGAGGUAAAACUCAACACAGUCCUUGUUCCUGUAGAGUGCAAUGGCUUUUGCUCGCCAGUCCUUUGUUUCACUUUCCAAGCAUUGCUUGAUGUUCUGUGUAAUCUCCUCAGCAAUCAAAUCAUAUACAAAUGUGAAGAUGUCCAGCAACAAACAACACUGCCUCUGAUUGAAGUCAAUAUUCUCUCUGAAAACCAUCAAAGCCUUGAAACCUCCCAGUGCCUCCCCCACAUGUCGGAAUUGCUCCAUAGACAGACUAAAACAGAGCCUGACAAAAAGAUACACACAACACUAAUUAUCCAAAUUCUUUUUUUUUUUUUGGGGCAUAUCCCAAGCUUUUUGCCUGAAACUAAAAUAUUGUCAAACAAUCUUAAGGACAUACU